rnacentral:rRNA from 1 species
UACGUAGGGACCAAGCGUUGUUCGGAUUUACUGGGCGGUAAAGGGCGCGUAGGCGGCAAAUUAAGUCAUCUGUGAAAGUCUCCGAGCUUAACUCGGAACGGUCAGGUGAUACUGAUCUGACUAGAGUGCGGAAGGGGCAAUCGGAAUUCUUGGUGUAGCGGUGAAAUGCGUAGAUAUCAAGAGGAACACCUGAGGUGAAGACGGGUUGCUGGGCCGACACUGACGCUGACAGCGCGAAGCCAGGGGAGCAAACGGG